GGGCCACUUCUUGCGCGCUGCCAGAAGGAGCUAUUUUGAGCAGGUCUGUGGCGGAAGUGGGUGUUCCCGGGUCUCUGCUGCCCAGCUGUGCCCGCUGCCGUCUUGGGGUCCCGGGGUGCGCGGGUUGGGCUGGGUGAGCUCAGAGGCACCUUGUCGGCAGCCGAGCCUGAAGAGGCGACCUCGAAACGCCUCGUGAGACCUUUCGCGGGCACACGCCCUUCGCGUUCCUCCGCUUCCUCCCACGUUUCUUCAGCCCCUGGCGGGGCGCUGGGGUGCCCGGUAGUUAAGGGUGGGGUGGCAGCGAGCGUUUCUGUGCACCCGCAGCGUGCCACGCCCGUGCUAAGCACUUUGCCUAUAGAGCCAGUGGCUUAAUUCUGCAAUAGCACAGUGAAGAACUUCGCCUCAUUUUACAGACGUGGAAACAGGCUCAUCAAGUGCUCUGUAAUUGUAAAACCUGGGAUAACAAAGGAGCAAAACGCAAUUUAGAGGCAAGUGUGUGGGACUUGACUUUGGUUAGAAAUAGGCUUUGCAGGCCAGGCGCGGUGGCUCUUGCCUGUAAUCCUAGCACUUUGGGAGGCCGAGACGGGCGGAUUAUCUGAGCUCAGGAGUUCGAGACCAGCCUGGGCAACAUGGUGAAACCCUGUGUCUACUAAAAUACAAAAAAUUAGCCGGGCGUGGUGGCGUGCGCCUGUAGUCCCAGCUACUCGGGAGGCUGAGGCAGGAGAAUUGCUUGAACCUGGGAGGUGGAGGUUGAAGUGAGCAGAGAUCGUGCCACUGCACUCCAGCCUGGGCGACAGAGCGAGACUCUGUCUCCAAAAAAAAAAAAGAAAGAAAGAAAUAGGCUUUGCAAGUUAGUAGUUCUGUGACUGAAUCCCAGUCUGUAUAAGACCCUCAGGCAUCCCCCGGUCCAAACCAAAACCUGUCUGCGAAGGAUGAUUUCACAGGAGCAAACCAAGACUUUAUUUCCAGUUUUAUAACCUGCCUUGGGGUCUUCGGCUAGGAAGCUAAGAGACACAGAAAGCUGAGAUUGGGCAAAGACAGGAUCUACCAUCCACUCCGAGCUCUGGGAGCACCUGAAAUGCGAUUUGAUGUCACCACCACCAUCCCCAGUUCAACCACAGUUCAUGUGUGGAAUUUAACCUGCAAAGUUGGGUUUGCUGAGACCCAACGCCGGUUGGAUCAUGUGAAGAUCAGAUCCUUUCACUAUGUAUUUGCUUUAAUUUUUCCAACUAGUUCGGAUCUAACAUGAAGUACAGUAUUGAGGCUCACUCCAGAAGUGAAAAUAUACAAUCGGCAGGCAGAUUUUAGUUCUUUGCCUGCCCUUUUCAAAAAUCAAUGACUGGGCUGGGCGCGGUGGCUCACGCCUGUAAUCCCAACAUUUUGGGAGGCCAAGGCGGGCGGAUCACCUGAGGUCAGGAGUUUGAGACCAGCCUGACCGAUAUGGUGAAACCCGUCUCUACUAAAAAUAUAAAAAUUAGCCAGGCGUGGUGGCGUGUGCCUGUAUUCCCAGCUACUCGGGAGUCUGAGACAGGAAAAUUGCUUGAACUUGGGAGGGGGAGGCUUCAGUGAGCCGAGAUCUCACCACUGCACUCCAGCCUGGGCGACAGAGCGAGACUCCUUCUAAAAAAAAAAAAAAAAAAAAAAAAAAAAAUCAAUGACUGUGACUCUGUUUUCAUUUCCUCUUUGGCAACAUAGGGACAAUUUUUACUGCUGGGGCUGAAAUUACAAACAUAAGACACAGCCUCUCCUCUAGAGCAGCUGGGCAGCUAGACCUCCAUCUGCUUGCUUUUUUUUUUUUUUUUUAGACACGGAGUCUUGCUCUGUCGCCCAGGCUGGAGUGCAGUGGCGCCAUCUCGGCUCACUGUAAGCCCCGCCUCACGGGUUCACGCCGUUCUUCUGCCUCAGCCUCCCGAGUAGCUGGGACUACAGGCGCCCGCCACCACGCCCAGCUAAUUUUUUGUAUUUUUAGUAGAGACGGGGUUUCACCAUGUUAGCCAGGAUGGUCUUGAUCUCCUGACCUAGUGAUCCGCCCGCCUUGGACUCCCAAAGUGUUGGGAUUACAGGCGUGAGCCACCGCGCCCAGCCCAUCUGCUUUCUUAAAUUUCUAUUGGAACAGAGUCAUGCCUCUUCAUUAGGUAUUAUCUGAUGAUAAAAGGGCACAGUCGACUAGUUGUAGAGACUAUAUGGCUCACAAGUCCUAAAAUAUUUACUCUCUGGCCCUUUACAGAAUCUAUUUGCUGAUCUCCAGUCUAGAGUGUUACUGAUGGGUUUCUGACACAGAAAUAUCUGGCUGAGAUGGUCCAACAUACCGGGAAACUCAUUCUCUCCUAUGAGAAAGUCAUAUUCUCUGAUAGCAUCUUUGGUCACCUGAAACCUAGUGUCCAUUGAAGGCACAGCUCUGGGAACUGCAAAACUGUUCUGUGGAGUGUUAUGGAGAGUAAAGCCAGGCAGACCAGCUGCUUCUGAGGGCUGUGGAUAAAAUAGAGAAUGAUACACUUACAUCCUCUACCUUUUGUUUCCAGGCACAGAUCAUUUCAGGUGCCUUCUGUGCAGAAAUAGCUGAAUAAACUUGGAGCUUGGUCUCUUUGUUGUUGAAUUUACAAUGUUAUUUGAAUGUAAGACCUUGUAGAUAUGACAUUUGAAAGUUAGGGCUCUGGAAUGGCACUGCCUGGCUUCAGAUCCUUCAUUUUUUUGCUAAAUGACAACAAACAAGAGGCUUAGGCUCUGUGCCUCCGUUUCAUCAUAGUCAAUUCUGGUAUUUGCAGUAGUUAUGUUGAAUAAAGUCACCCAGUACACGGACUUAGCAAAUACUGCUCCUUGGAAACCACAGCUCCUAGGGAAGAUACAGGGUUAGGUUCCUGUGAACCUCUGAUCACAACAUUUUUAUCAACAGAUCAAUAUACAUAACUUUGUUUUUGUGUGUGUGUUUCUAUUAAAGAUGCUUUAUUUAGGCCAGACACAGUGGCUCAUGCCUAUAAUCCCAGCACUUCGGGAGGCCGAGGCAGAUGGAUCACCUGAGGUCAGGAGUUCAAGACCAGCCUGGCCAACAUGGUGGAACCCUAUCUCCACUAAAAUCACAAAAAUUAGCCAAGUGUGGUGGCCCAUGCCUAUAGUCCCAGCUACUGGGGAGGCUGAGGCAGGAGAAUCACUUGAACCCGGGAGGUGGAGGCUACGGUGAGCCAAGAUCACGCCAUUGUACUCCAGCCUGGGCAACAGAGCGAGACUUCAUCUCAAACAAAACAAAACAGAAACAAACAAAAAGAAGCCUUAUUUAAUGUCUAUUAUUGACUCAUUAAUUAACAUUGAAAAUGAGAUGGGAAUAAUAUAGGGUGGUCACAGGAGAAUUAAAUUCCAGGCAGCAGUUUUACAUAACUAGAGACUAUCGUCUUCUAAGACCCUGAAAAGCCAAGGUAUGAACCAAGCUGGCUAAGACCAACUGGACCCAACAUGGUGCUGGGCUUGACCCAGGCUUCCCCUAGGACCUCAUUAUGUGCUCAUUAACAUACUAAACACACAACCACCAGUACCAUGACAAUUUCAGGAACACUCAGAUUUGGCGCAUAAAUGGGUGACACCACCGCUCCAAGAAAUCUCUACCUUUUCCCAGGAAUUUUCAUGAAUAUUCCACCUCUUGGUUGAAGAAACCCAUAAAGGUAGAAACCCCGAACCAUUGCUCGACUUUCUCUUGAGUAGGCCUGCAUUCCUCUUUCUUGAGUAUGUAAUUUUCACCUGGUAAUAAGUCUUUGUACUUUCACUAUUUUCUGACUCAUCCUUGAAUUCCUUUUCGUAAUGACGUCAAGAGCCCGGGGUCAAGGUCCCACCUGCGUUUGGGCACCUCCCCAGCCCACUGGUAUCAAACCCACAGACAAUGGCAUGUAACUCAUGCCUGAAUGAAGUACAUCUAACAUGUAUUUUCUCCCUAAGACACACCUUUUGCACUGAGGAACACUAGAUAACACUUCAACCCUACGUGUGGGGGCCAUUUAAAAAUGCAAAACCGCCACCCAAAAAAAAGCAAAAAAUGACAAAAAUGUGGCGCUAAACAGACCAAGAAAAGGACAGUUGUUGGCAGUAGGUGAGCAGAAAUGAGGGCAGAGAGAGAGUGCUUGCUGGGUCUCAGCCAGGGACUCCAACACGCGGCGACUCGGAUUUUCCCCACUCCAGGCACAUGGCAUGUACAGGCUCAUGGCCUCAGAAACGCUGCAAGUAUUGAUUUGUGGGGGGAGGGGGGGAGGUUACACAUAAAUUUUUUACCUACUAAGUGAAUUUGCAAAUGUGGAAUCUAUGAAUCAUGAGAAUCAACUGUAUGCUAAAACAGAGGAGUAAUAGGACCUGCCUCAUCAGAUGGCUAUGGGAAUUCAAUGAUAUAUGAGUGCAUGUAAAUUGCUUAUAAUGGGGCAUUACACAGAGAGGACUGAGUAUUAGCCACUUUUUUUGUGUGUUUUUUUGUUUGUUUUUGUUUUGCUUUUGAGAUGGAGUCUUGUCCUGUUGCCCAGGCUGGUGUGCAGUGGCGCGAUCUUGGCUCACUGCAACCUCCACCCCCUGAGUUCAAGCGAUUCUCUUGCCUCAGCCUCCCUAGUAGCUGGGAUUACAGGCGUGUGCUACCACACCCAGCUAAUUUUUGUAUUUUUAGUAGAGACGGGGUUUCGCCAUGUUGGCCAAGCUGGUCUCAAACUCCUGACCUCAGGUGAUCUGCCUGCCUUGGCCUCCCAAAGUGCUGGGAUUACAGGCGUGAGCCACCACCCCUGGGCCCGUUGUUACUAUUAUUGAUUACAAAAGAGCAGGACUCUGGUAUUUGGAAGAGGAUUCUCUAGAGUUUGGAACAACUUGAAGUCCCUGAGUCCCAAACCAUUCCGAACCCCUCCACGGUGCCACCUUCGUCACACCAGGCAGAAGCCCUUCCCUUGUCACCGGAAACUCCCUCUGGAAGGAGCUGUUCUCUGUCAUUAAAGGGAGUUCCCUUUCAGGAGGAAGCCAAUACUCCCCUUCAUGCUCCACCCUUUAUUGUCAUUAUUUGAAAAUAGAAGGUUUAUUUUUAUGUUCUGAACACAAAACUAAGAAUAUUACAAUUAUGAGAAUUUUGAGAAUAAAAGUGAAUAAUUGAUGGGGAUAGGAGUAAAAUUAAAUAUGCAUUAUUGGUCUGAGCCUCCUGACAUGUCUCUUAUAAUGUUCAGAAGUAUUAAUUUGGUUUUCGGGUAUUCACCAUGGAUGGCCAGGGGAAAAUUCUUAAGGCUACUACGGACUUACUCUGAGUUUUUUUAUUUCAAUUUUUUUAAAGCAUAUUAAUUUCAAUAAAUUGUUACUUAAUUUAGUUCACAUGUAUUUGAUAUGGUUUAAAUAAUUUUUAUUGAGGAUUAGUAUACGUCCAGAAAAGUGCACAUAAACGUUUACAGCUUGAUGAAUUUUCACAAACUGAACCACCCUGUGGAAUGAACACUCAGUAACAGUGGCACCAGCGUCCUGGGGGCUCCCUUCAACCCCCCUUCCAGGCCCAAAAUGAAAAUGCCAAGUAUCUGUGAAGACUCAGAGCAACCUGAACUCCCAUAGAGUUGCUGGUGGGAAUGGAAAAUGGUACAACCACUUUGGAAAACAGUUUGGCAGUUAAACAUACACAUACGUGACCCAGCAGUCCCACUCGUAGGUAUUUACUCUAGGGAAAUGAAAACAUACAUCCACACAAAUAUCUGUAGGAAGUGUUUAUAGCAGCUGUAUUUGUAAUUGCCAAAACUGGUAAAGGAAAAGCUUGUUCUACUCACAACACGUCUGACAUCCAUGUGUAGGUUUUCUUUUCUUUUCUUUUUUUUUCAAGACAGGAUCUUUCUCUUAUCACCCAGGCUGGACUGUGGUGGCACAAUUAUGGCUCAUUGCAGCCUUGAUCUCCAAGGCUCACACCGUCCUCCAACCUCAGCCUCCCAAGUAGCUGGGACUAUGGGUGUGCACUAUCCUCAGAUAAUUUUUUUUUUUUAAUUUUUGUUAGAGACAGGGGUGUCACUACAUUGCCCAUGCUGGUCUCGAACUCCUGGCCUUAAGCAAUCUUCCCUCCUCGGCCUCCCAAAGUGCUAGGAUUACAGGUGUGGGCCACUGUGCCCAGCCCAACAUGUGGGUUUUCCACACCAAGCAAUUCUCUGCAGACGCCAACUGGGUAUCCUACAAUUUAAUUCAAUUUUGACACUAACUCUGUGGAGUUAGCACAGACCCCAUAGGUUAAGAGCUCAGUCCCAGAAGACUGCCCCUGCUUCAGGCAUCAACCCCAGGUAGUGGGUCCCCAGGUUACCACACUGGCUACAAAUCAGAGGGGCCCACGAGCUCCUCCUUAGUUUUGUCAUUUGCUAGAGCUCACAGAGCUCAGGGAAACACCUUACUUCCAGUUGCCGAUUUAUUAUAAAGGAUACAAAUGAACAGCAGAUGAAGAGAAGCAUAGGGCAAGGUCUGGAAGGGUCCCAAACCCAAGAGCUUUUGUUCCCGUGGAGCUGGGGGUGCACCACGCUCCUGGCACAUGUAUGUGUUCAUGAACCACAAAGUUCUCUGUACCCUGGCCUUUAUAAUUUUUUUUUUUUUUUUCGAGAUGGAGUUCUGCUGUUCUUGCCCAGGCUGGAGUGCAACAGCGUGAUCUCAGCUCACUGCAACCUCCACCUCCCGGGUUCAAGUGAUCCUGCUGCCUCAGCCUCCCGAGUAGCUGGGAUUAUAGGCAUAUGCCACCACACUUGGCUAAUUUUUGUAUUUUUAGUAGAGACGGGGUUUCUCCAUGUUGGUCAGGCUGGUCUCAAACUCCCCACCUCAGGUGAUUCACCCGCCUUGGCCUCCCAAAGUGCUGGGAUUACGGGCAUGAGCCACUUCGCCUGGCCCAGGCCUUUAGACUUUUAUGGAGGUUUUAUUAUAUCGGUGUGAUCGAUUAAGUAAUUGGCCAUUGGUCAUUAGCUCAAUCUCAGCCUCUCUUCCCUCCAAAGAAGUGGGAAGGUGGAGUGGGGCUGAAAGUUCCAAUCUUGUAAUCAUGCCUUGGUCUUUGUGGUGACCAGACCCCUCCUAAGCUAUAUAGGGGUCCCCAGCCAUGCCAGUUGUCUCAUUAGCAUAGAAAAAGACACCAUGAUCACUCCUGAGACUCCAAGAGCUUUAGAAGCUGUGUGCCAGGAACAGGGGCAGAGACCACUUAUAUAUUUCUUUUUAUGUCACAACUGGAAACACCCAAAUGCCAAUCAAUGGGUGAAUGAAUGGAUAUACAAAUUGUGGUACGCCUUUAAAAUGGACACUACCCAGCCAUAAAAAGUCACGAAUUACCGGCCAGGCACGGUGGCUCACGCCUGUAAUCCCAGCACUUUGGGAGGCCGAGGCAGAUGGAUCACAUGAGGUCAGGAGUUCGAGACAAGCCUGGCAAAUAUAGUGAAAAACUGUCUCUACUAAAAGUACAAAAAUUAGCCAGCAUGGUGGUAUGCACCUGUAGUCCCAGCUACUCGGGAGGAUGACUUAGGAGAAUCGCUUGAAUCUGGGGGGCGGGGGUUGCAGGGAGCCGAGAUGGUGCCACUGCACUCCAGCCUGGGCAACAGAACGAGACUGUUUCAAAAAAAAAAAAAAAAAGUUACCAAUUACCGAUAUAUGCAACACCACCGAUGAAUCUCAAAAGCCAUUAUGCUAAGAGAAAGAGACCAGCUGUAAGAGAUGACAUACAGUAGGAUUCCAUUUAUAUGACAUUCAUGAAAACAAAAAAGUAUAGAGACAGAAAACAGUAGCUGCCAGGGAUGGGAGUGGGAAGACAGGAAAUGACUUAGCGUUGCCAGAGAAAAUACAGGUCGCCCAGGUAAACUUACUAAAUCUGGCAACCCUAGAUUGUCUACAGAGGGGGAUAAAGGAAGUUUUGGGGAUGAUGGAAAUAUUCUAUAUUUUGAUUGUGGUGAUGGUUACUUGCCUGUGUGCAUUUGUCAUGGAGUCAUGGAGAUGUAAAUUUUACUACAUCUAAAUUAUACCUCAAUAAAUGUAGCUAAAAACAAAACAGCUGUAAAGAAAGGUAAAAGUCAAAAAUGGAAAAAUGGAUUAUGGAUUAUGAUGGUAGUUAAUGUGUGUGUGUGUGUGUGCGUGCGCGCACGUAGAAUUGAACACUUAAAAUAGGUGCAUUUUAUUCUAUGUUAAUUAUACCCCCAAUAAAGUUGAUUCUUUUUUUUUUUUUUUUGAGGCGGAAUUUUGCUCUGGUGGCCCAGGCUGGAGUGCAGUGGUGCGAUCUUGGCUCACUGCAACCUCUGCCUCCCAGAUUCAAGCAAUUCUCCUGCCUCAGCCUCCCAAGUCGCUGGGAUUACAGGUGCCUGCCACCAUGCCCAGGUAAAUUUUUUUUUUUUUUUUGAGACGGAGUCUCUCUCUGUCACCCAGGCUGGAAUGCAGUGGCAUGAUCUCGGCUCACUGCAAGCUCCGCCUCCCGGGUUCACGCCAUUCUCCUGCCUCAGCCUCCCGUGUAGCUGGGGCUACAGGCGCCUGCCACCACGCCCGGCUAAUUUUUUGUAUUUUUAGUAGAGACGGGGUUUCACUGUGUUAGCCAGGAUGGUCUCGAUCUGGGGACCUCGUGAUCCACCCACCUUGGCCUCCCAAAGUGCUGGGAUUACAGGCGUGAGGCGUGAGCCACCACACCCGGCCAUGCCCAGGUAAUUUUUUGUAUUUUUAGUAGAGACAGGGUUUUGCCAUGUUGGCCAGGCUGGUCUCGAACUCCUGACCUCAGCUGAUCCACUCGCUUCGGCCUCCCAAAGUGCUGGGAUUACAGGUGUGAGCCUCCAGGCCUGGCCAAAGUUCAUUCUUUAGAAAGCAAUAUUAAAAAUAAAGAAGGUUGGCCAGGCGCGGUGGCUCACACCUGUAAUCCCAGCACUUUGGGAGGUCAAGGUGGGGGCAUCACGAGGUCAGGCGAUCGAGACCAUCCUGGCCAACAUGGUGAGACCCCAUCUCUACUAAAAAUACAAAAAUUAGCUGGGCCUGGUGGCAUGCACCUGUAGUCCCUGCUACUUCAGAGGCUGAGGUGGGAGAAUCGCUUGAACCCAGGAGGCAGAGGUUGCAGUGAGCCAAGAUCGCGCCACUGCAUUCCAUCCUGGUGACAGAGCGAGACUCUGUCUCAAAAAAGAAAGAAAAGAAAAGAAAUAAAGAGGGUCACUUUAUGAUAAAUGAUAAAAAAUUCAACUCACCAGGAAGACGUAACAAUUCUAAAUAUUCUAAAUCAGAAUGUACCGAUAACAAGACCUCAAAACUCGUUUUGUAUUCUUUUGGAACUUGAGAAAAUAAUUCUAGCAUUCAUCUGUAACACUAAAUGGUCAAAAAUAGCAAAGAAGUUAGCAUGCCUUUAUUUCUCAAAAUGGCUACAAAAUAUUUAUUACUUUUAUAAUAGAAAAAGAGUGUUUUUGUUUUGUUUUUUGUUUUUUAAGACAGAGUCUUGCUCUGUUGCCCAGGCUGGAGUCCAGUGGCACAAUCUCGGCUCACCACAACCUCCACCUCCCUGAUUGAAGCAAUUCUCCUGCCUCAGCCUCCCGAGUAGCUGGGACUACAGGCGUGUGCCACCAUGCCUGGCUAAUUUUUUGCAAUUUUAGUAGAGACAGGGUUUCAUCAUGUUAGCCAGGCUGGUCUCGAACUCCUGACCUCAUGAUCUGCCCGCCUUGGCCUCCCAAAGUGCUAGGAUUACAGGCGUGAGCCCCCGCGCCCUGCUGAAAAAGAGUGUUUUAAAAUAGAAAACUGUUUUUUAGGAGAAAUGCUCUUUAGCAACAACAACAACAAAAAAAAAACCCAACUUAAUCCCAAUACACAUUUUAAAGUAGUAUAUAGCAUGCAAUAGCUGAGGUAUAAACCUUCCUAUCCAUUCCUUAUUAAAUUAUUGCCGGAAGUUCAAGUCACUCCACUCAAAAGGACUUCACAUAAGUGGGAAAAUCGUUCUUUGAGAAGAAGGUAUAUGAUUUGAUAUUGUUUUGCCUAGAGAAGAAAAAGAAACAAACCCAUUAGAGUGUUGCAGAACCUGAAUGGUUUUUCAAGAAUUAUGUUGAUCAACUUUCUGUGUAGAGUAGCAAAUAACAAGUGUCACCGAUUUGAACAAUAGUGUAUUUGGGAAAUAGAGAAAGGGCUGCUUCCUGUCCUUUGAGAUCUUCACAGCAACCACAAACCCUAUCUUGUCAUCUGUGUUCCGGCAUGCCCAGGCACAUUUGACCAAUUCUAAACGCUAAACGUUACUCCAGCACCCAAGUGUAACCCGUCACGAGGUGAGUCACAAUGAAUCCUAACCAGGACCCCAGUGGGAAAUGUGCCUCCCCUUUAGAUUUCUGAUUUCACUUCAGUUUCCCGGUAGCACUUAUGGUGUCAUUGAUCACCCCUCCCCACCCCCCAUCUCUUUCACAAUUUUGUCUUCCGUGGGUCACGUAUGUUUUGGAGAUGUCUGACUUUCCCAAGAGCUGGUGUUGAAUUUCCACCCAGUGUUUCCAGGACGGCAGCCUGUGUGAAGUGCUAGGGAAAGCCUUUUCAUGCCUUGAAAAAUACACACAAGUAUUUCUCUUCCUGAGCUUCAAGGAGACUCUGCAUUCAAAAGACCACUCCCGGGCACUGCCUUCUACCAACUUCCCCAUCCAGCUCUGAUUGCAUCGGACCACUGUCUUCCCUCCAUGCCUCCAGCCCUGAGGUUGUCAACGGGGUGCUCCAGCCUCCAUGUGCACCCUGUGACUUCUUUCAUCCUAGUCCUUCUGACCCUCGUGGCUUCUCCUGCUCCAAGGCCAAGCUCGGGACCCUGUCAUCAUCCCCGGGGACAGGCCCCAUCUUAGAGAGGAUCCACCCAGCUCCCCGCUCCUGAGCCAUCUUCCAGCUAUCCCGCCUCGAGACUCCCACCGCACCUGCUCCUGGGCUGCAGCUGCACCCAACAAGUAAGUCAUUCUCUUGCCAAUAGAGUGUCUUCCACGUCCUUGUCCUUCCCACACUCCCCUUGGCAACCCCACCCCGCCGGAUGAAUCCAGAUGCCCACCUUCAUGCCUGCCCCUGGGUGGGUGCUGAGGGAGACCCGUGGCUUUUUCCCGCAACCAGGCCUUCUGCGCUGCCAGAAACCCCAUGCUCACCUGGCAUGGCGCUCGCACCCAGCCCCCUCCACCAUUUUCGAACCCACCUCAUUCUCUUUCAGCAGGUCUUGCCUCUUUCUUCAACGAGAAAAUAGCAGCCCUGUCAUGGGAACUCCCUUAACUCCCUUCCUCCCUGCCUGCACGAGGCCUGAAGAAACACACGUCCAUCCUUUUCUCCUCCCUUCCAGUAGCAUUGGAAGAGGUGUUCUCACCAGUGAAGUAUCUUCUCACCUGAGAUGUGGGUUCUAUCCCCCACAAUCUCCUGGGGAACUUUAUCCCACUGAUUAACUACUGCCUCUCCGGGACGUCCCAC
rnacentral:lncRNA from 1 species